AUAUCCUAAAAGCCUAGAACCUAAUAAAUUCAAAAUCAUGUAUUUUUUUUUGUGUUUUUAUAU
rnacentral:sRNA from 1 species